rnacentral:rRNA from 1 species
UACACACCGCCCGUCACACCAUGAAAGCCUAUUGUACCAGAAGUCACUGUGCUAACCGUAAGGGGCAGGUGCCUAAGGUAUGGUCGGUGAUUGGGGUG